UUGCCAUUUUGUUCACUCUUGGACAGUGUGCUGUGUGAGUUGCCUUGCAGAGAGAAGAGAGACCAUUUAUUUUGUUUAUUUAGCCUCAGAUUAUGUAAAUUAAAUUUAUGUAAUUGUCAGAUUAUGUAAAUUAUGUACUUGCUAGCAGCAAUUACAGCAUGCAAUGAUCAUCAACUUGCCUGCCUCAUUUUCCUCAUCCUCCGUGACCAAUCUAGCAACAACCUUCCAAACAACAAAGAAUACAAGAGGCUCUCAAGCAAAGGGCAAGGGUGAUCUCCUCAAGAAAAUUUCCAGACCAGAGCUGUUCACAUGGUGACUGUAAAUUGUCUUCGACAAGACUGAACUCAAGAAUAGUGCCAAUUUCUAUCUUUUAAACAGAACUGCCAUUAAUUCAUUCUCAUUUUUAUUGUAAUCAAUAUCCUUAUAUGUUUGAAGCAAAUCAUUUAGGUCAGGUUGAUACACUAUUUUAUCCACCUGGCCCAUUACAUGAAAUAAGGACAUUAAUGUGCUGUGAGGGCAUGUGGCCUUCCCUCCUGCCACCAAUACACCAGGGCAUCCUUCCCCCAAAGAUGUGUUUUUAGUUGUUGUUGUUGUUUGUUUGUUUUAAACACUUAGACAGGGAGCAUGGUGAAGCUCUUCAGGGAGGGCAUUCCAAAGCCGAGGGGUCACAACCGAAAAGGCCCUGUCUGUACUCCCUGCCAAUAGGAUCUCUGUUAGUGGCAGGGCCAUAAGGAGGGCCUGAGAUGACAAGUGGAGGGCCCUGGCAGGUUCAUAUGGUCAGAUGCGGUCCGACAGGUAACCCGGUCCCAAGCCGUGUAGGGCUUUAAAGGUCAACACCAGCACCUUGAAUCUAGCCUAGAAGCGAAUUGGUAACCAAUGAAGCUGAUGCAGGAUGAGUGUAAUACUCGUGAUGUCAUUUGUACCCACAAGCAUCCUUGCGGUAGCAUUCUGAACCAGCUGAAGCUUCUGAACCAUCUUCCAGGGCAGCCCCGUGUAGAGCAGGCUGUAGGUAAUACUCUAGGCUUGAACUCAUUGGAAGCAGUCUAUGUUGUAGUCUUCAAUUUUUCACUUUAAGCAUGCAUAAACACAGCAAUGGAUGGGCAUACUGAUGGGGAUAGGGAAAGCAGAAGCAAUUCUGAAUCUCUGACAGCCACAUAUUCAGAUUUGCAGUUAUGAUGCAUGAUCAAGGCUACUGAGAGCAGUAACGUGAGGACAAAAUCUCUAAAGUACUCUGAAAAAUGUAAUGUAUUUAGCUCAAAGUAUUUUUAUCUAUCCAUCCAUCCAUAUUAAUAAUAGAAGGCAUUUUAAAACUAUAUUAAACAUGCUCAUAAACAUUAAUAUUAACAAUAAUACAACCUAUGGAAAGGAAGAAAUUUCCCUGAAAGAUUAUCUAAAUGUACCAUGAAUAAAACUUAAUUCUUUAACUCCAGACUGAACAUCAACCUAAAACAUCAAAAUCUUAUCACCACAUCAUAGUUUGGAAAGAAAAUGAGGUCUUCACUAAAGAACUAAAAAAUUUAUCUGCAGCUAAAACCUCAUGAAAAUUCUCAUCCAUUUUCUUAGGCAUGAACCUCUAAUGAAUGAAAUUAUUAGAAACUCAGCCCUCUGAGCAUAGUACUACCAAAAAAGAAAAGUGUGUGUGUGUAUAAACACUUGAGGGAAGAGAGAGCUAUUUUCAAUAUAAGCCACAACAUAAUUUAAACAAAUGUAGAAAUAAUUUCAGCUGAGCCACAGAAAUUCAUAGGCAGCCUUAUCCAGUAUUUUAUCUACCACUCUCAGUAUAAAAUAAUUCUAAAAGACUAAAUGGCACAACUCCUAAGCUAUUUUCUUCACUUCUAUUGGUCAUUUGAAAGUUAGAGACAAUUGUGAAUGCAAGGCUAGGGAGGGAAGAAAAAGGGCUUAUUUUCAACACUUCCUAGAUAGAGUAAGAAUCACAGGUAUUACAGGAUGACUCUUUUUGUUAAUAUUCUGUCUUCAUCUGUUAGACUUAGCAAGCAAACAUGUUUUAUUGCUGUCUUAUGAAUCAGUUUGGAUACCUAAGGGGGUGGGGAAGAAACUGGUCUGAGUGACAUUCGUUAUUAACUCUCUUUUGCUCUUUCUCUGUCACUGAGCUGUGGCAAUUUUGUAUUCCUCAUCUUUUCAAUAAAUACAUUUGGUUUUGGCUCCA